rnacentral:rRNA from 1 species
AACGAACGCUGGCGGCAUGCCUAACACAUGCAAGUCGAACGAGACCUUCGGGUCUAGUGGCGCACGGGUGCGUAACGCGUGGGAACCUGCCCUUAGGUUCGGAAUAACUCCCCGAAAGGGGUGCUAAUACCGGAUAAUGUCUUCGGACCAAAGAUUUAUCGCCGUUGGAUGGGCCCGCGUUGGAUUAGCUAGUUGGUAGGGUAAAAGCCUACCAAGGCGACGAUCCAUAGCUGGUCUGAGAGGAUGAUCAGCCACCCUGGGACUGAGACACGGCCCAGACUCCUACGGGAGGCAGCAGUGGGGAAUAUUGGACAAUGGGCGAAAGCCUGAUCCAGCACUGCCGCGUGAGUGAUGAAGGCCUUAGGGUUGUAAAGCUCUUUUACCCGGGAUGAUAAUGACAGUACCGGGAGAAUAAGCCCCGGCUAACUCCGUG